AGUGGCGCACGGGUGAGUAACGCGUAACUGACCUACCCAAAGUCUGAAUAACUGGGCGAAAGUUCAGCUAAUACUGAUGUGGUGAUUCGCUGUGGCGAAUCAUUAAAGAUUUAUCGCUUUGGAUGGGGUUGCGUUCCAUCAGCUAGUUGGUGGGGUAAAGGCCUACCAAGGCGACGACGGAUAGCCGGCCUGAGAGGGUGGCCGGCCACAGGGGCACUGAGACACGGGUCCCACUCCUACGGGAGGCAGCAGUUAGGAAUCUUCCACAAUGGGCGCAAGCCUGAUGGAGCGACGCCGCGUGAGGGAUGAAGGUUUUCGGAUUGUAAACCUCUGAACUAGGGACGAAAGAGCCGUAAGGCAGAUGACGGUACCUAGGUAAUAGCACCGGCUAACUCCGUGCCAGCAGCCGCGGUAAUACGGAGGGUGCAAGCGUUACCCGGAAUCACUGGGCGUAAGGGCGUGAGGCGGGAUGUUAAGUCUGGUUUAAAGACUGAGGCUUAACCUAGGGUGGACUGGUACUGGAAUGACC
rnacentral:rRNA from 1 species